rnacentral:lncRNA from 1 species
GUGCCGGAGCGCGGCUGGUGGCGCUGGCAUCCAUCCCUGUCCCUUCUGGACUUGGGGUUACCUUGGAAGGAUCCGGAAAAUAGCAAGAAAAUUAGUAUGCCUGUGCUCCCUUGGGACUCACUGGAAACUGUACCGUGACAUCUGCUGGGACUUAGUCUGGGG